CUUCUCUUUCCUCUUCUCUUCUCCUUCUUUUCCUUCUCUUUCCUCUUCUCCUUCUCUUUCCUCUUUUGAUCUGUCUCGGAAAUUUCUGGCACCUUCAGUGGUUUGAACGAGACCGACAACUUCUCCUUCACAAUCUAUAUUUCUCUUAGGUGGUGGUGGUAAAAAAUUUAUUGGUUUUUAAGGUCGAAUUUGACCAUGAAAACUCUAGAUAUAGACUUUUCAUGGUCGAAUUUGGCCUUAUUAAACCAAAUUUGAGGUGAACUUUGAAGUCAUUUCGGGGUUUGAGGUAUGUUUUCGUGUUUUUGGUGAUUUUUGGUUUCGUUUUGGUUGAUUUUCAUUUCGAUUUUUGUUGAUUUUGGUUGAUUUUUGUUGUUUGUUUUUAGCAUGGUUUAUUUUAGUAGGUUUGAUAUUCGUUAAUUAUUGGGUUUGAUUUUCGGGUAAUUUUUGGGUAAUUUUUCUGUUUGAUUUUCAUUAAUUUUUGGGUUAGAUUUUCGAGGCGAAAUCGUUUGAUUUUUUUUUUUUAUUUAUGGAUUUGAUUUUCGUUAAUUUUAGUGGGUUUAAUUUUGUUUGAUUUUCAUGUUCGAAUUUUCGUUAAUUAUGUUUAGGGGUGGCUUUUGUGGUGGCUGAUUGGGGUUUUCGGUAGGGCUGAGCAAAAAUAUCUAAAAAACCGAAAACCCGAAAAUCCGUACCGUAACCGUUCCGAAUAAUUGGGUACCCGAACCGUUUAAAGAAUUCGGGACGGGUAACUUAACCGAUAAGAAAUUAAUGGGUCGGAUAUCGGGUACCCGGAAAUUAAAAAUGCUAAAUAAAAGUAUGAAACCCGUGUUUUGUUAAAAAAAAAAAAAAAGGAUUUCUAAUUUCUCGUUUUUUUUUUCUCAUUUCUGAUUUCUCACUCAGCCUCCAUCCCACUUUCUCUCUCCUCUUCCUCUUCCUCCUCCCUUCUUCCUCACUCACCCACUCAUUCAUCAAAUUUCUGGGCGACAUUCUGGGCAGCGAAUUCAGCAACAACCUAGCAACAACGAUCUCAGGGGAAGCUAAACUCGGUAAUGGAGGAACCGAGGUGGUUGUAGCUCUCGGUUUGCUACGAAACAGGCUGGAAUUUCGUUGAGUUGAAAGUUGUAAUUUGGGGGAAAGUUUCUGGGCUGGUUUUAGUUGAAGUAAAUCAGCAAGAAUAAGAGGUUGAACUGAAAGACAUCGCAAGGGAUCUGAAGAGAAGAACCAAGAUAGAAACUGCGGUGGAGCAGUAGCUUGUUUGUGGGCCUGUUCGUGGCUGUUUCUCAUUCUCCAAUUUUCACUCAAGAAAAAUUGGAUUUUGCCUAACUGGUCGCAUUUGCAACCCGAGUUUAGCUGGGAGCGUAUUGAAGAUUAUUAUGAACUUGACAUCAUCUCAUAUUCCCAAGCUUGAGGUUGUAUUUUGCAUGAGAAUAUUGUGGAAAUUACUUAAGCCCCAACCUGGCCGUGGCUUGUAACAACAACCUUGACCAGGUCAUGGCUCCUCUAUUUGUGCUCAAGCAAAAUACACCAAUGCAGUCUACACCACAGGCAGACCAUGGCUUGACUUCAGUGGCAACGGGUAGGUCGUGGCUAGCUUCUGUGCAGCGUUUUGGAUCGAUAUUCUGCCGACUUUUAUUAAGACUUCUAAUCCUAGUUAACUUCCCUAAUAUCCAUGAUUAUAAAAUACUCUUUGUUUAGGGCUUAAGACAGGAGGGAGAACAACGGUUUGUUUAGCAUAGGAGGUGUGGUUUCCAGCCACCAUUAUAUCAGACUUUACUUUUAGUUUUGUAAAUUUUAACUUUAUUUCGUUCUUCUCAAAUUCACUUUGAUCCUUUUUUGAUUUUAA